UACUCGUUUUUACAUGUUUCCGUUGAUACUUAUUCGGGAUUCCUUUGGGCAACCCCACAGCGUGGGGAAGCCACUGCCAAAGUAAUUCACCAUUUGCUAGCCUGUUUUUCUGUUAUGGGUCGCCCAAACCAGAUUAAAACGGAUAACGCCCCAGCCUACUGCUCCACAGCCCGCUCCACCUUUUGUGCCAGAUGG